rnacentral:rRNA from 1 species
GACGAACGCUGGCGGCGUGCCUAAUACAUGCAAGUCGAGCGAAGUUUUUCUGGUGCUUGCACUAGAAAAACUUAGCGGCGAACGGGUGAGUAACACGUAAAGAACCUGCCUCAUAGACGGGGACAACUAUUGGAAACGAUAGCUAAUACCGGAUAACAGCAUAAAUCGCAUGAUAUAUGUUUAAAAGUUGGUUUCGGCUAACACUAUGAGAUGGCUUUGCGGUGCAUUAGCUAGUUGGUGGGGUAAAGGCCUACCAAGGCGACGAUGCAUAGCCGACCUGAGAGGGUGAUCGGCCACACUGGGACUGAGACACGGCCCAGACUCCUACGGGAGGCAGCAGUAGGGAAUCUUCCGCAAUGGGCGAAAGCCUGACGGAGCAACGCCGCGUGAGUGAAGAAGGAUUUCGGUUCGUAAAGCUCUGUUGUUAGGGAAGAAUGAUUGUAUAGUAACUAUAUACAGUAGAGACGGUAC